UUCGUUUUGGGAGCAUCAACCCAUUCUGCGACCCCGGAAUCAUAGCAGUCCACUUUUCUGAGGCGAAAGAGGUGAAAUCCAGCUGGUAUUAGUAUUUUCUUGGUUUCGAGGAAAUCAAAAGAAGGAGGCAAGUGUUUACUUACAUUCCGGAAUUCAGGAUCCAGAAUAUUCAGGACGCAUUGAAUUCUCUGGAAGAGUUGGCCCAACUGCUCAGAGGAAAUUUCCGUUCAGCAGGUGUAACCCUGGAGUUAGCGGCGGAGACUUCUGAAGAAUUCAUAGAAGCACAAAGACUUCGAUGUGGUGUUACGAUGCACAGAGGAUUGAAUUUUAAUUUCAGCAAAAGAGACCGAGCAUUCAGUUUCUUGGCUGAAAGAGAUUUACACCUGGCUAUUGCGGUAUGAAUAAUCUUGACAUGCAGGCUGUUGUCCGGGUAAUGACACGGACCAGAUAGUAAGGGAAAUUAUAAAAGGGUUGGAUAAUGCAAAAGAAAGGUUCCAAGAAGAAGCCGGGGAGUACGACUAAAGAAUGAGUUGCAUAGGCUUGGGCAGAGAUACGUUGUAACUCUAGCAGAAGGAAGGUUUUUCUUGGAUUAAUCAAAACCGAUAAUCAUCUACUGAUUGGGCUCCGUUGCCAAAUCGCUAUUUGGUACAAUCGACGCCUCAGAUAUGACAUAAAUUGCGGA